AUUACAGACCACAUCUCCCAUUACGACCACACCUCCCAUCACAGACCACACCUCCUGUCUACCCAGAUGAGUAGCGGCAGCUGCUCUCCCAUGGCAGAAACCACGGAAAGGCCAGGGGUAUGACAGAGAUAAGGGGCCGAGGGGCUGAUCAAGGACAGGUCAGGAUGGUGGCACAAAGGAAGGGCUACCAGAACCCAGAACACCAGGGGCAACCACCACAGAAGGCACCCAUGGGCCAGGCCCCCACCCCAAGUGUCACACGUGCCCCUGUUGACCCUUCAGCUGAGAACACAGAGGGGCACCUGCACAUCCCCCACAUGGUCUCUCACCCCGAAAGCACGCCCAGCACCAGGUUGAGCAUGAAGAAGGAGCCGAUGAUGAUGAGAGGGAUGAAGUAGAGCCAGUUCCAGGUGUUGCCGGCCGCAUCGUUUGUCUGGAAGCAAGGAGAGGGAGAUGAGGAAGGACAGAGACAAAACACACAGUCCCGGCCACAGAAGCAACCCCAGCCCCCAACAGGCCUCCUUCUCAGAAGCACACACCUGGUAGGGUCCAGGCAGUGGGGAGGCCACUCACAGGGAGGUCCAAACAUGGGGCUGGAGUCCAGGCAGCACCCACAGGCAGACGUGCCUUUGCUGGCAGAGUUCUCUCUGGACUGCAGCUCCCAGAGGACCAGGGACACUCAGUGCUGCCAGCCACUGCCUAGCAACACUCAACAGCCAAGCAGUAGGCCCAGGGAGCCACGGCUGUGUGGAUGCCCCGAGGUGGCAUGAGCACCCAACCUCUGCCAGACACCUCCCUGGCUACCAGACAUCCUGGGCAGCUCCAAAGCCAUGUCCUCCUGAAGGGGGCCCACAGGCCCAAGUCCACAUCAGGCCCAAGUCCACAUCAGACCCAAGUCCACAUGCAGCAGCUCCCACAGCUGAGAGGCAACAGUGGGCCCAUCUGCAUUUUCAGUUUCACCACAUGCCUGGCCUGAGACAGCGCCCAGCACUCAGGCGUGAUCUGAAUAGCUGAAAGCAAAGAGGGACCUUCUUUCCCAGAUCUUUUGCUUUUUAUAGCACAGCCCACAAAAGGGUGUGCUCCUUUGAACCCAAUUUGAUUCCAUAGUUGUUUCGUUUUUAUGCAUUCCCAGGGGAUGUGGCUAAGGGGUGUAGAGAACCUCUUUCUCCCUGCGAGUCUGGUGCUGGAGAGACACCAGGAGGGUGGUGGGUGCCAAGGGAGGCAGCCCCUAGUCCUGUUCCUAGACGCCUCUCUUCAGAGGCAGUUCACAAGACACGGGACGGGCUCCACCAAAACAGAGGCAGGAGGACAGUCGGGGCACUGCCCUGCAGCGGGCGCUGAUCUCCAGGUGCUGCUGUUGGCAUUUCUGCCCUCCAGUGUCUGCCAGCCUGGCGGAUUUGCAGCCUCCACCCCUGCAUGGACUGAAGCUCGUGGUUCCUGACCCUUGGACACUGAUUCCAGGCUGGCCCCUGAGAUUCCUGGAUCCGAAACCAGAAGUGACAUUCAGAAUCUCAGCUCCAGCUGCAGUUCAUGUUCCUAGAACAUGAACCACUAAACCACACCUCUGUCCAGACUCACUCACAUGCAACUCAGAUCUUGGACUGGGCGGCCACCAAAGCCACCAACUUCCCGCAAGCACACCCUCAAACCUGCCCUCCCUUCUUCAGAAAAAGGAGAUAUCGCUGCUGUAGCCUCAGCCCCUCUCACCUGCUCAAGUACUUGGCUCCCGCAAUUUCCCUCCCCAAUGGAGUGUUCUCAUCAGUAGCCAACUGGCUCUAAUUCCUCUCAUCUUAAAAAACAGGACUUCUACUUCUGGGAAGAUGGAGCAGACAUACUCUGCCAUAUUGUUCCCACUAAAUGGAAUUAACAUACUGAAAAUUAUUCACAAAGCAAACACAGAAUGACUCUGAAAGGUGGAGAAAAUAGGGCAGACUAGCUAGGACCCCAGGAUAUAAGGUGCAUUUCCAGGAUUUUCUUCUUGCUUCCUAUACCCCACAUUUGGAUCUGAUGAAGCUAAAACUUGGAAAUGCCCAAGGGGCACAGACAACCAAAAAAAGCACCAGCAAAAGCCAGCUCUCCCUAACCAAGGCGGCCUAGCAGGACAGGGAGCUCUCAGACAACCCACAGAAAACGCUGGCUCCAUCUCCAUCCCUCCCUUCCCGCAAAGACCCAGAGGAGCACCUAGACUGCAAUGAGGCAUCCAAAUCCCCUCACCCUCCAUGGGGUGCUGUCAGAGAAAGCCAAGUAGAAGGUGGAACGUUCCUCCUCAGCAGGGGUUAUCACGGCCCCCCAGCCCCAGCCCACCUCCGCGGUACUAGUGAAGACCACACGGGACACCUUGACUUCCAUUUACACAGGCAGUAGGGGCACCCCCUGCUGCUAGGGAGCUAUCAGAAGGGUCUUGUGCAACCAGGACUUUUACCACCAUCCAGCAGUCAUGAAGCCACCCACCCACCCACAGUGUGCAGAAACCACGUGGAGAACAAGAACGAGGCACCUCUAACCCUCCCAGCCUGGAAAGUUCCCUUGAGGCAUGGUGGGGAUCCAGACCUGCCACCCCUGCCCAGCAGUAAGGAGAACACACUACCAUAUGUCAACAGAGGCCAAGUGGGGAACCUAGACUUCUGCACUCACCGGCAACAAGACAGCAGCCCUCCUCCUUCCCUGACAGCCAAUGCAGAAUGCUUAACUGAGAUCCAAGGUCCCAUGCCGAAAGGCCAAAAAUGGCCAGUUUUCAACUGAAACUCACUCGUCAUAGGGAAGCAUUUUCCAUCUCUCUUUCCAACUCAGGACACUUGACAGAGAGCACCUAAUCAUGGAGGCAACUGCAGGUCUCUGGCUGGGGCCACUCUACGGAGAGACUGAAAGACCACUGUGGGCAACUCUCCAUCCAUUCCGUCUGAUUCCCUGCUUGGCUGCAUCCUCAACCACUGGAAUCAACUGAACCCUGAGGAGAAAUCUAAGGAGAAAACGUCUGAUUUUCUACUAUAAUAAUGUAUAGCCCCAGUAUCAGCUGGACAGCCAGGAAUAAUUGGUGGUCAUUGGAAGUCUUAAUUAAAACACCAUCCUGCAAUUAGACCUGUUUUGCAAAAGGCAGGGUAAAUUGUCAGAAAUCCCAUACGUACAGGUCUUCAUGGCCCUAUACCAAAACCCAACAAUCUGCAAAAGUCCUGGAACCUGCCCUGAAAAGGAAGGUCUUAAGGCAGAACUAGAUAUUGUAGAUGACCCCCUUUUACAAAGGCCACCUGUCUCUCAGAGGCAAGUGCAACCACCCCUUGUAUAACUCCUUGCCAAGUGCUCCUGAGGCUCAAACCCAAGAGCAAAAUUCGGGGGUCCAGCUAAGUCCUCCUCAUAUUUGGAGAGGAACAAUCUAUUCAACUCCCCCUCCAGCCCUGCUACCCCUUAGGGAAGUAGCAGGAGCUGAGGGGCCAGUCCUAGUGCAGUCCCCCUUUUCUAUAACUGAUAUAAAACAACACACAGAAAAGCUAGGAAGCUAUUCUGAGAACCCUAGGAAUUUGGAGAUGGGUCCCAAACUUUGACCUUAGCCUUUGAUCUCUCACGGGAGAUGUCAAUUCAUUCUAGCAACCUAUUGCAGCCCCUUAGAAAAGAAACAAAUCUUUGAGGCUGCCCACCAGGAAGCAGAUGACUUAUUUCCUUGAAACUCUCAGGGCAAUCACUUAGGCCCAGACACAGUCUCCAUUACUGAUCCUAAUUGGGACUAUAACAUACCCGAGGGAAUGAACCACCAGGCUAAGUUUCUUGAGGCUCUCCUUGGAGGAAGAGAAAGAGAAUAAGGCAGUAAAUUAUGAUAAGGUAAAGGAGGUUACACUGGGCAAGAAGGAAAAUCCAGCCAUGUUUCAUGGCAGGCUGGAGGAAGCCUUUAAAAAAUAUACUAAUCCAAUCUGUCCCAGACAUUAGAUAUAAGCUACAGAUGGGCCCACAAACUAAUCAAAAUCAGCUUCUUGAUAUUGCUUUCAUGAUGUAUAACAAUCAUGAAGGAAGGAAAAGGGGAACAGAGUAAAGAAAAAUGGCAAGCAAAAACUAUGACAGCCAUCACUGGCAAUGCCCUGAAUGCCCAAAGAGCACUCAAAGGAAACCCAAAGGGCCAUAAGGACAAUGCCAGCCUGUAGAGGAUACAAGAUUUGUUAGUACUAAUAGAUACUUGUAGGGAGCUGAAGGACGGAGAGACAUGACCAACUCAGUAUUCCACUGGAGGUUAUAUGAUCAAACAGCAAACUGUUUAUUAUGAAAGCAGGAUGUGGGCAAACUCAUGACUGUGCCUGCUACCAGGAGAUUUGCUGAGGGCAAUUACUCCCUGGCGCCGUGCUCAUUGCGGUUACCUACUGGGACAUCUAGAGCCUAUUGUUCAAAGAAUGCGGUCUUGUAAGCCUGCUAUGAAUCAAACUGCCUGCUGACAACCACCCCCUCCUCUUCUCGCUAUCUCUUUUGCCUAAUAAAUAUGGAGGGCUGUGUAAAGCUCAGGGCCCUUGUUCACUAGCAAAGAGCCCCCUGACCCCUUCUUCCAAAUAUACUCUUUGUCUUUAUCUUUAUUCCUGCAUUCAUCAUCCUUUGUUCAGUCCCCCAAGGUCCAUGCAGGUUACAGAUACCUUUACUGGCUGGAUUGAAGCUUACCCUACACCAAAACACAGAAGGCCAAUGAAGUUGUUAAGGUUCUUCAAAGAAAUAUUUCCCCAGUUUGGGUUACCUCAAAGCCUCCAAAGUGAUAAUGACUCGUUCUUUAUCUCUCAAAUAAUUCAAGGGGUUGCUAAGGCUCUCAGAAUCAAAUACUAUUUACAUUCAGCAUGGAGGCCUCAAUCCUCUAGAAAAGUGGAAAGAGCUAAUCAAACUCUAAAAUGGGUGUUAGCUAAGCUAUGUCAGGAAACAUAAGAAACUUGGGUCAACUUGCUGUCCACAGCUCUUGUAAGAGUCCAUAAUUUCCCCAGAGCAAAAAUUAAUAUGAGCCCAUAUGAAAUGUUAUACAGGAGGCCAUUUUUAACUAAUGAUCUAAAUACUGAUCCAGAAACAGCCACUUUAGUGAAAUACCUAGUUAAGCUGGGACCAUUUCCGCAGGCUUUACAAAAGUUUGAAACUC